AUUCAAAUAGCUUAUAUAGAGUGUAACAUUGAAGCUGUUAAGGAAAAUUUAAUUUUUUGAAUA
rnacentral:tRNA from 1 species